AAAAAGAUAAGCUAAAUAUAAGCUACUAGGUUCAUACCCUACUUAUGAAAUAAAAUUUCUCUUUUUA
rnacentral:tRNA from 1 species